rnacentral:rRNA from 1 species
AAGCGGUGGAGCAUGUGGCUUAAUUCGAGGCUACGCGAAGAACCUUAUCCCGGGCUUGACAUGCUAGGGGACCCGGCGGAAACGUCGGGGUGCCCUCGGGAGCCCUAGCACAGGUGCUGCAUGGCUGUCGUCAGCUCGUGCCGUGAGGUGUUGGGUUAAGUCCCGUAACGAGCGAAACCCCUGUCCCUAGUUGCCAGCGGGUCAUGCCGGGCACUCUAGGGAGACCGCCGGCGUCAAGCCGGAGGAAGGCGGGGACG